rnacentral:rRNA from 1 species
UGAGGAAUUUUGCGCAAUGGGGGAAACCCUGACGCAGCAACGCCGCGUGAGUGAUGAAGGCCUUCGGGUCGUAAAGCUCUGUCAAGUGGGAAGAAUCUGUGCUAUGCUAACAUCAUGGCGCACUGACGGUACCACUGAAGGAAGCACCGGCUAACUCCGUGCCAGCAGCCGCGGUAAUACGGAGGGUGCAAGCGUUAUUCGGAAUUAUUGGGCGUAAAGCGCACGUAGGCGGUUUUAUAAGUCAGAUGUGAAAGCCCGGGGCUUAACCCCGGAAGUGCAUUUGAAACUAUAAGACUUGAGUAUGGGAGAGGGAAGCGGAAUUCCUGGUGUAGAGGUGAAAUUCGUAGAUAUCAGGAGGAACACCGGUGGCGAAGGCGGCUUCCUGGACCAAUACUGACGC